CUCCUCGAUCUUCUUCGUCUCCGCCUCAUGCUUCUGCUCCGCUUUCCACACCCGCUCGAUGUUUUUCAGAGUUUGCGGGUGCCAACUCUUCUUCAAGUUCUGUCAGAGGUGCACCUGAUAAGCCAAUAUUGGUCAACAGAGCCAUGGAAACUUUACACAUGACUUCAACGGACAAACAGGAAUCUGAAGGCUACAUUCAAGGACUGCUCAUGCUGCUCUUAAAUCGAAAUGAUGCUGAACAGGGCAGUAACAUACUCUUCAGAGGAACUCUGAAGGAUAAAAAGGGUCUCAUG